CGAAAGUUCACUGUAUUUUGGUCUUUGAGCAUUGGGGAAUCCCCGAAAAAAUUAACCAACAAUUCCUAACACAACAUUUGUGGAACAAAAAGAUUUUGUGCUUCACAAAUUUUUAAGAUUGACUUACGAAAUUGAGCAGACGCUGCAUGGCCAGCUCAUGCGACCAGAUGCACUCGCAGCCAUCGAAUUCAUCAGCCAUUGUUUAUGUUUUGAAGAGUUUCUCUGGAGGAUUCCUUUGAACUGCGGCACCACAGACUGCAAAGAAAAUGCUAUAUUAUUUAUGAUGUUAUCUGUCAAUUGUUGGGCAUUUAUUUGUGUUGAUGUCCACUGACUGACGUGGCUUUAGCUUUCACAAGAGAAUAAAACACAA